GUGAGCGCACGGCAUGGCACCUGCAGCAUGGGUUUCACGUUCUGGAAGGUUCCGGCUGACUCCCACCCCGCCCUUCACUGGCCAAGUAAACUUGCAGACGUUACUUAACCCUUGACCUAGAAGAGCCUCCUCUCACCUGAAAAGGGAAAGUCGGGAUUGUAAGGAAAGGAGUCUCAUAGGGCUUCUCUGAGGAGACAAGUCAUUGGAUUGGGCUUAGACGUUCCAUCCGCGGCAAGAUUUCCGGCUUUGCCCUUUGGAACCUGAGGUAGAAUGAGGAUCGUGAGGUUCUUCAGAGGCUGUUACUCACAAGGCCACAGCACAGAAACGGCAAGAAAUGUCAGGACAACUAUGGAUGUGAAGGAUGGGAGAGGGGCCUCCUUCUCCAUGAGGUCCCCAAAGGACAGGGGUUCAUCCUUCUCCAUCGAGGACUUGAGGGACAUCCUUCUCCAUCCAGGACUGAGGGGCAUCCUUCUCCAUGCAGUACCUGAGGGACAUCCUUCUCCAUUUGGGACCUGAGGACGUCCUUCUCUGUACUCCUUUCGGACUACACCCUUUCCUGUGCCGUCCUUCAGAAUGCCAGGCUGUCACUGGUUGUGGAUUGAACUCUAGCAUCUUAUCUCUAUUCUAGGUGAAUCCCUUCACAUUUAUAGUGAUUUACCAUUUAAUCACUGUGCCAUUUUCCCCAAAAUAUGUGGGGUUUGGGGUUUGGUUUUUGUUCUUACUUCUAUUAAUUCUUCGGUUCCCACCUCCAGUUUUUUUGUAAUUUCUUUUACAACCUAAUAUGGUCCCAUUUGGUAAGUAUUACCAUGUACUAGAAAAUAAUGUAUAUUCAGUAUUUGUUGUGAUUUUUAAACCUUUAAUAAACUCGUAAGAUUUUUGUCUAUUUUCCAUUUAAAUUGAGAAGUACGAUCCCCAGUGUUCCUCUCUCGAUCUGCUCCCGUUAGUCUCCAUGUGUGUCCUGGAGGUGAGGUCAGCAUUGGACUUAACCCUGUGUCACCUCCUUGGUUCUACUGCUCACGUGUGGUGUCCAUCCUGCUGUUUAUUAUUUUUUCCUUAAAUUGUAUUUGAACUAAGAUUAAUUUUGCUAUAGCUACUUGCUUUCUGUGAAUAUUUACUUAGUAGUUUCACUUCCAUUCUUUUUUGCCCUUAAUUUGAAAGUACUGCUUUGCUAUUGAUAAUUUUGUAUUUUAAUAUGUGAGGUUAAUCCCUCUGUGUUUGGUAGGAAAAAGUGAUAUAUUUGAACUUAUUUCUAUUAUGUGAUUUUGGAUUUUGGAUUUGCAAAACUUUAUCCUUGAUUCUCUUUUCCUUUCUCCAGAAUUAUUUUCAAUUGACAUUUCCUUUUCCACUUCCUUCUUAUGUUGAUUUGUAGGUUUUCCAGCCUAUUUACCUUUCUUUAAUGUCCUACAUUUUAAAAUAAUUCUUAAAUUAUCGACUAAUAAUUUUAAGCAUACUGGAUUUGCGGUUUUCUCCCAGUGCUCUAGUUAUAAUCUCUUCUAUCUUGUCAUUUUAUUCUUGUUAUUUUUCUAUUAAUUCCUGAGAUAUAGGUAUUAGAAUUGUCAAAUUGUGAAUUUAAGCAUUUACCCUUUAAAUUUGGUUAUUUUUGCUUCAUAUAUUUUGUUAUUUUGUAUCAGGUGCAUGCAUGCUUAUGAUCAUUAGGUUUUCUAAGCAAGUGGACUCAUUAAUAUAAAAUGUCCUUCUCUGUCCCUGGCGAUGCUGUUCAUUCCUGUUGUCUGUCUCAUCUGCCAUCCAUACACCUGUGCAGCCUCCUGAUAACAAGCAUUUCUGUGGUAUAAAUUUAUCCAUCUUUUCAGCUUGAAUCUAUUUGUAUCUUUAUCUUGAAAGAAUGUUUCUUUGUAAAAGCAUAUCGAGGCUUGCUUUUUACCUACAUUGACAGUCUCUUUUUCAGUGGCAGUGUUCAGUCAGUGCAGAUCUGCUAUUCCUGUGGUUGGGUUUAAGUCGGCACCUGAACCUGUUAUUUCCUCUGUUCCGCCUUCCUGGUCUUCUGGAUUAUCGUAGUUUUGCUUUGUUUGUUUGUUUGUUUGUUUAAUAAGGGUUUUUUGAUUUUUUUUUAGUAUGGAUUUUGUACCUUGUGGUUUUUUUUUAACUAUGACUUCCUGUUUUAUUUAUUUUCAGUGAGUCAUUUAGAAAUUAAAAUAUAAAUACUUAAAGUCUCAUAUUAAAUAAAGAUCAUAACAUUUUAUGUAAAUAUAAAAUCCUUCCGCACCCUCCUCUCAGCUUCUGUACCAUGUUGUCAGUGAUGUUUCUUCUGCAUAUGUUGUAAUUUCCAGAGGAUGUCAUUAAAACAGUAAUUUU